rnacentral:rRNA from 1 species
GUAGGGUGCGAGCGUUAUCCGGAUUUACKGGGCGUAAAGAGUCACGUAGGCGGUUUAUCGCAUCUUGUCUAAAAGGCCAAGGCUUAACUUUGGUUUGGGACAAGAGAUGGAUAGACUAGAAGGAGGUUGGGGGUUUCGGAAUUGUUGGUGAAGCAGUGAAAUGCGUUGAUAUCAACAAGAACACCGAUGGCGAAGGCAGAAACCUAAGCCUCUCUUGACGCUGAAGCACAAAAGCUAGGGGAGCGAAGCAGAUUARAGACCUGCGUAGUCCUAGCCCUAAACUAUGCUCGCUAGAUACCCCGUCACAAAGUUGACGAGACUUUGCAAAAUCUUCGAUUUUGUGAUGGGGUGUCGCAGCUAAC